rnacentral:tRNA from 1 species
GACCUUGAUUGGGUUACCGAGAACUGCUAAUUACUCGAUACUAUGGUUCAAUUCCAUAGCAAGAUCA